AUAUUACCAUAAGUAAUAAGAACUUUUUAAUAUUUUGCUGAAGAAGUUCUCAUCGAUGAAACUGGGAGACGUUUUGGGUGUCCGAUGAUAAUUCCAAGUAGUAACGUUCCGCUCGAUCAAUCGAUAACGAAUGCAUUAGAAGCGAUAUCGAGCAGUGCUAUCGAGGCCUUCUGGGACGAUUGAUGACAUCGAAUAUUUCGUACACUAUUAUCCAAAGCGACGAAAUAAAAAUUUCGCUUCGGUCUUUGAUGAAACUUUCGAGUGGAACAAAUGUUUUUAGCACAUGAAUGAAGUUUUAAGAAUGUAGUACGAAAUAUUUUUAUCUGAAUAUCCAAAAAUUGGGGGUUUAAAAAUUCUAUCAAAAGUACAAGAAUUUACAUUUAUUAGCGUUCUUGGUCAGGAGUUCGAUUUGGAUGAUCUCUCUUUAUUCUCAAUGGAAUCUCUCAAAGCCAUUCGUUUUUUUUUUCAUGAAAAAAAGCUUUUAACGGAGUAUUCGAACUUCUAAUGGCUCCAAAGGAAUCUCAGUGCACCAGUGCAAUAAGAAAACCAUGGAUCUGGAUUGCACAAGAGUGUCACAAUGAAAAGCACAGUUCGAUAUAGGUCUCUAAAAAGGCCUCGGGAAGCCAAUCGAUAUUUAAAGCAUGCUGAGGGAUCAGAUUCAGACUGAAAGAAGAAAUUUGUUGGACCGAUGGAAUUUUUAUUGAAUCAACGAAUAGUGAUUAAUGGACAUAGCAGCCUACAAAGGCUUUCUAGGCAACAAGUCAAAAAGACAAAAUUAAAAAUCUAGAGAGGAUUGUUUAUGAAAUAAUCGCCAAAGGCGAGUUUAAGAUAAAAAUGAUUUUAUCGAUGGGAAGGUUUUUUCCUAUUCCCAAUAACCGAAAUGAGAUGUUAUUUCAUCGACCAUUCAAAUCCUUGUGUGCGCGAAGAUCCGGAAAUUUACGGUGAUCACGUGAACUCUCGAUCCGUCUACGUGCGAAAAAUCACGACAAGAUCGUCGCCUCUGCGUCUUCUCUCGUAGAAAAUCUUCAGAUCCGAUACGAGUCACGUGAACGGGGUCGGCUAUGGUUUAACAAGAAAUUCGGGGAGUGUUGAAUUAAUAAUUAGCUCUAUUAGUCAUUCGGCUAGAAAACUUGCGUCAGAUUGUAUAGAAGAUCACCUCGUAUCGAGAUAUAAAAAUAGCUGAAAAAAGUCGACUGGCGUAAACAUGUUAUUUCAUUUCAAUUGUGAUUUCUUUUCGGUUAAAAAAAAAACACUUUUAAAUUCAUGCGCAGAAUGUAAAUUUUGUUUAUUUUUACAAAAAUAGCGGCAUGAAAAAUUUGAAAAAGUAACACUGAAACGCGAAAGAAACAGCGUUGAGGAUUUUUCCUCAUAUUGCAUGAAUUUCAAACUCGAAUCAUCUUCGAGAAAAGCCAUGAAGGUCUCGACUCUACGGAAUGUCUUUGAAAUGUUACAAUCAUCAAACGUUUGAGUUUUUUAAAUAAAUUUUUGGAGCUAGUUUAAUAA